GAAAAAUGGAGAAAAAGAUGAAAAAUUGUCAUCUUUUUCAUUUAACCAAACGUUACCCACCAUUAGGCUCAAUCAAACUUUCUUUUAUUCCCUUUGAGUUCUUCCUCCAUUGUUGAACAAACCAAGUUCAAAACCUUCUUCUUUUGUUUUUUUGUUUUUUAUUUCUUUACUAAAAACUAUAAAUAAGGCUAGUGUGCACCUUAAUCUCAUGAGAGAACAUAGAUGUGUUAAAAGGAGAGAAAAUGUAAGAGUUAGGAUUUUGGGUUUUCAAGGGCUUAAGGUAAGAGAUGAUGAAAUUAUCAUGCCAUACAUGUUUAUUUUCAUAAACUAUCAUAGAAAAGUUAUUUGAUUUUAGUUUUAACUUGUAAUCGUUAUAUAUUUUUAUAUGAAAUUGAAGAAAAAGAAAAGAAUGGAGAGAACCUAAUUGAAGGAAAAGGAAAAGAGAAGGCCAAAGAUUAAAGGAAGAAGAAGAUACAUCAUCUUAACCAUUUUGUUGUAAGUACUACAAGGAUUUUAAAUUAUUUUCUUUAAAUGUUUAUGUUGUAGUAUAGAAGUUAUUUAGGAUACAAAUGUAAAAUAAAAAUGUAUAUUAAAUAAAGGACUAAAUAGUGAAAUAAUGAAAUAUGUUAAGGAAAAAUAUAUGUGAACGAUAUGAAAUGGUAUAUUUGGCCGAAUGUUAAAUAACUAUGUUGAGAAAAAUAAAAAUGUGUGGAAAAAGCAUUAUACUUUUUUUUGGACAAAAAUGGGCCCGAAGGCCACUACCUUUCAUUAACACGAAUCAAGCAUUAUAAACUCAUGGAUAUCGCAAGGAUACUCCAUGUCAAAGGAUAGAGUAUACUUUUUGUUUAAUGCUAAAUUGCACAGCUUGUCUGCAAUUCUGUUGCUUAUAUGACCAAUCCGAUUAAUCUUAACUUCGGUAAAGAACUCUAAAAUGCCAAUAAUCUCUUCCAUGCGAUAACCAAAGAUAGUGAUGCCCUCAAAGAUACUUCUUGAUAUAGUUCACUAAACUUGCACAAUUGGGCUCAAAGAUAGUGAUGUCCUCAUGAUACUUCUUGAUACGGUUCACUGGGAUUCAUGGGAAUCAUCAGAGCAUUUGUGAAGUUGUGAAUUCUAAAAUCAUCCCCUAAAGCUUUGGCCCGAUCCAACACUAUCGUAGCGUCUUCAUCCUUGCCGCGCAAGAUGGCAUUAUUUUGGUUAUUCCAUAUGUUCCACAAAACUGAAAUGAGGUCCUUAAAGGCCUUCUUAUCCAAGAGUCGAGUGGCCUCCUCCAGCCAAUCGAUGCACCUUUCAUACUCAUUGUCGAGAAGACAUUUGUCAAUCCC
rnacentral:lncRNA from 1 species